rnacentral:rRNA from 1 species
CCUACGGGUGGCAGCAGUGGGGGAUAUUGCACAAUGGGGGAAACCCUGAUGCAGCGACGCCGCGUGUGGGAAGGCGGUCCUCUGGGUUGUAAACCACUGUCCCCAGGGACGAAAAUGACGGUCCCUGGGGAGGAGGCUCCGGCUAACUACGUCCCAGCAGCCGCGGUAAUACGUAGGGAGCGAGCGUUGUCCGGAAUUACUGGUGUAAAGGGGAGGGAAGGCGGGAAUGCAAGUUGGGUGUAAAAGCUACCGGCUAAACCGGUAGCCGCACUUAAAACUGCAGUUCUUGAGUGAAGGAGAGGCAGGCGGAAUUCCUAGUGUAGCGGUGAAAUGCGUAGAUAUUAGGAGGAACACCAGUGGCGAAGGCGGCCUGCUGGGCUUUUACUGACGCUGAGGCUCGAAAGUGUGGGGAGUAAACAGGAUUAGAUACCCGAGUAGUC